UACGUAGGUGGCAAGCGUUGUCCGGAUUUACUGGGCGUAAAGGAUGCGUAGGCGGACAUUUAAGUCAGAUGUGAAAUACCCGAGCUUAACUUGGGUGCUGCAUUUGAAACUGGGUGUCUAGAGCGCAGGAGAGGUAAGUGGAAUUCCUAGUGUAGCGGUGAAAUGCGUAGAGAUUAGGAAGAACACCAGUGGCGAAGGCGACUUACUGGACUGUAACUGACGCUGAGGCAUGAAAGCGUGGGGAGCAAACAGG
rnacentral:rRNA from 1 species